GAUUAUCGAAGGAGUACGCCUUAAUUCAUAAUC
rfam:Tenacibaculum dicentrarchi strain AY7486TD, complete genome.